AUUGAACGCUGGCGGCAGGCCUAACACAUGCAAGUCGAGCGGAUGAAGGGAGCUUGCUCCUGGAUUCAGCGGCGGACGGGUGAGUAAUGCCUAGGAAUCUGCCUGGUAGUGGGGGAUAACGUCCGGAAACGGGCGCUAAUACCGCAUACGUCCUGAGGGAGCAAGCGGGGGAUCUUCGGACCUCACGCUAUCAGAUGAGCCUAGGUCGGAUUAGCUAGUUGGUGGGGUAAAGGCCUACCAAGGCGACGAUCCGUAACUGGUCUGAGAGGAUGAUCAGUCACACUGGAACUGAGACACGGUCCAGACUCCUACGGGAGGCAGCAGUGGGGAAUAUUGGACAAUGGGCGAAAGCCUGAUCCAGCCAUGCCGCGUGUGUGAAGAAGGUCUUCGGAUUGUAAAGCACUUUAAGUUGGGAGGAAGGGCAGUAAGUUAAUACCUUGCUGUUUUGACGGUACCAACAGAAUAAGCACCGGCUAACUUCGUG
rnacentral:rRNA from 1 species